AAGGGCAUGUACAGAUGAAGGGCUGACUGACAUUAGUCUCUUCAGCAUUUAAGAACGAGAAGAGAAUUUUGGCCCUUGCAUGUGAAGAUCAGAACUGUUCCUGCAGAAAUGCUGAAAUAUCCAUAUACAUCAAACAAUCAUGCUGGAAAAUGUGGUACUGAAGUGGGAAUCAUCUCUCUUGAAUGUAAUUACCCAUUUUUGAGAAGCUGUUCAUCAACCUCUGCUAGAUUUUAAGUUGACAAGUACUAAGUUGACAUUGGACUGAGUCACUCAUGUAGCUGCUAGCACAAAAAUCAGGGGAUCAUUCGUAGCUGACUGAGAGUGACAGCCCUUGACAUCGAGGCCACAUUCGACAGAAUGUGGCAUGAAGAAGCCCUAGAAAAACUAGAAUCAGUGGGCAUCAGGAGGAAAACUCUUCACUAGUUGGAAUCAUAUCUGGAAUAUAGGCAGAUGGUUGUGUUUGUUGAAGGUCAGUCAUCUCAGCUCCAGGACAGCUUUGCAGGAGUUCCUCAGGUCCUAGAUCCAAUGACCUUCAGCUAUUUCAUCAAAUGACCUUCCCUCCGUCAUAAGGUCAGAAGUGUGGAUGUUCACCACUGAUUGUGAAUGAACAUUGCACAAAGCCUCACGUAUACUGAAGCAGUCUAUAUUCAAAUGCAACAAAAUGUGGACAAUAUCUAGGUUUGGGCUGCUAAGAGACAAGCAACAAUCGCCACCACACAAAUGCCAAGCAAUGACCAUCACCAAUAAGAGAUAAUCUAACCACCAUUCCUUGAUAUUCAUUGGUGUUACUAACACUGAAUCCCACACUAUCAACAUCCUGGGGAUUAUCAUUGACCAGAAAUGCAACUGGAUUCAUCUCAUAAACACAAAUGCUGCAAGAGCAGAUCAGAGGCUAGGAAUAUUGUGGCAAGUAGCUCACCUCUAGUCUCCCCAAAGCCUGUCUAUCAUCUACAAGGCAUAAGUCAGGAAUGUCAUGGAAUAUUCCCCAUUUAUCCAGAAGGGUAGAGCUCCAACCACACAUGGAUAAAACAGCCUGUUUGAUUGGCAUCACUCCCUCCACCACUCACUCAGUAGUACACACUUCUGCUAUCGACAAGAUGCACUGCAAAAAUUAAAAGUUCCUUAGACAGCACCUUUCACACCUACAAUCAUUUCCAUCUAGUAGAACAAAGGCAGCACAUACAUAGGAACACCACCACUUACAAAUUCCUCUACAAAUCGUUCAUUAUUCGACUUGGAAAUAUGUCAUCAUUCCUUCACUGUCGCUGGGUCAAAAUCCUGGAAUUUCAUCCCUAAGAGCAUUGCAGGUGAACUGCAAUAGUUCAAGAACGUAGCUCGCUAUUAUCUUUUCAAGGGCAACCAGGGACAGGCAGUAAAUGCUUGCCAGUCAGUGAUGCUGCUCCCACAAGUGAAUAAAAGAAAUCUUUCCAUGACCCCACACCAGUCCUCAGUCACUCCCUCCCAUGGCACCAGUCUGUGCAAAUGUAGGCAAUACAUCGUUCAUCUCCUCCCCAAUCAUUGAUUUACUUGUACUUCUUUAAAUUCAGUAUAUGGUACCAUAUUCUUUGUUGUGGUCACUUCUGUAUUGAGGAGACAAUGGCAGACUGAGUGACCACUUUACAGAACAUUCCAUUCUGUGCGUAAGAACAAUCCUAAACUUGUAGUUGUGAGUCAAUUAAAUUCUUCACCUUGCUCCCAUGCUGGCCCCUCUGUCCAUAGCCUUUAACAAUGUUCCAGUCAAAUUCACAAGCUCAGAGAACAAUGCCUUAUCUUUUAACUCAGUGCUCUACAGCUUUCUGGACUUAACAUUAAGUCCAAGAACUUUAGACAAUAACCUUUUCUGUGUUGUACAUUUUUUGAUCCCUUUUGCUUUGAUGGUGUGGUCCUUGCCUUGCUUAUUCCUUAAUAUUGUAUUCAGAUGGAUUUUAUACAGCAAUUUGGACUAUAUUUUCACAGAACAUCUUUCUUUACUGUAUCCACCACCACUCUUUUUGACUGUUGCAUCUUUUGUCAUUCAACCUCCUUUGGCUUCUCCUCUUUUACUUUUCCUUUGUUUUUGUGGGAAAAAGAUCUGCCAUCCUGCUCACCCACAGCAUGGCCACAUAAAAAACACAGAAAUCAAACCUGCCAACACACACAGAAAUUACCCAGAAUGCCCCCAAUCUUGGCCAAACAGGCUAACGUAGAAACCAGACAUGGCCAAGCUACUCCCAGACCAGAGAAUACACUUCCUAAAACAGCUUUCACAAUCUUCUCCCAGCCUAGAUUAGCACCGCAGUCCCAACACUCUCACAGCAGGCUCAUUUCCCAUUGAAACCAAUACCGCAUAAACAAAAAGGCAAACUGAGAGACCCCGGAAGAUUUCACUCGCAGGAGGAACACAAUGGACACACCUGAAUGCCAGAAGGAACAUUUACACAUAUUCGUGCA